GGAGAGGUAGCCUAGUCUGGCCUAAGGCGCGGCCCUCGAAAUGCCGUGGGUAGAAAUGCCUCGUGGGUUCGAAUCCCACCCUCUCCG
rnacentral:tRNA from 1 species